UACGAAGGGGGCGAGCGUUGUUCGGAAUUACUGGGCGUAAAGGGCGCGUAGGCGGCGACCCAAGUCAGAUGUGAAAGUCCUGGGCUUAACCUGGGGACUGCAUUUGAUACUGGGUUGCUUGAAUUCGGGAGAGGAUAGCGGAAUUCCCAGUGUAGAGGUGAAAUUCGUAGAUAUUGGGAAGAACACCGGUGGCGAAGGCGGCUAUCUGGACGGUUUCUGACACUAAGACUCGAAAGCGUGGGGAGCAAACAGG
rnacentral:rRNA from 1 species